AAAUCUAUAGUGGGAAUAUCUGUAAUCUGAUUGGUUGAGAGUAGCUGUGAACACACUCAAACGUUUAACAACAUCUCAUUUUCAAAAGCGUGACUUGAAUUUUGACCUUUCGAAAUAUACGUUCGGAAAUCGUGAUAACUUACAUUACAAUGGCUUCGGCUAAUGAAAUCGAUAUAACAAGUGAACUACAAAAGAAACCCUUUUCUGUUCGACUAUCAGGCGAGCAAAAUAUACUCGUAAAGCAGCGGCCAAUUCCAAAUUUACAAGCGACUGCAGGCAUUUGAAGCUUUCAGGAAAGUUGGUACUCGAAGAAUAAUUGGCUUUGUGGUAGCUCAGAAAAGAAUGCAUUGUUCUGUUGGCCUUGUCUUUUAUUUUGCCCUGGAUCAUCAUCUUCAUGGACGCAGACGGGAUUCAAAAACAUGAAGAAUUUCCUAUCCGAUUGUAAGAAGCAUGAGAAGGCAAAAUCGCACAUGGGUGCCUACAAGACCUGGAAGACCUAUGGUUUUCAGCCUCGUAUCGACUGUAUCAUGUCACAAACUAGACGUGAAGAGAUUCAGCGUCAUAACGAGGAGGUUGAUGAGGCAACUGAUGUUUCUACCAAAGAACUAUUCAGUGUAAUUGUUCGAAUGGACAAAGGGGAAAGUGUCAUUGAAAGACAGCUUGGGUUUGUUGAUGUCAGUUGUGAUAGGACUGCAACUGCUAUAUCAUCAGUAGUUAAGGUUGGGAUGAUGAAACGUUAAGUAAGGUUACUGGUUUACUUGGCUACCUUAAUGGCUUCUUGUUUUGUUUCUUGGUACAUGUUUUCCAGAGAAUUCUUGAGCAGUCAUCCAUACUUUAUUCUAUCUUGCAAGACAAGGACACUGUUGAAUAAGUGGGACCACCAGUAACCAGGGUGUUUAAGAUUUGGAAAGGUGAAGUGCCCUCAGAAAAGAUUAAUCUUCUAAAGGAGGUUUAUGGUGAUAUGUUUGACAUACCAAUGCUAGUUAGCCAACUUUGUUUUAUUUACAGAGAUAAAGACUUUCACUGUGAUUCAUGCGAUGAAUUAUUGAAAUAUAUUUUUCAGUUCCAUUAUCAAUGUAGUAUUCCAGAAAUUGUAAAACUGUUAAAGAUAAAUGGGGUUUUGUCAAUUACAAGUGCUUCAGUUGAGAGGUCAUUUUAUUGUUUGAAGAAGGUAAAAAAUUAUCUUAGAAAUACUAUGAGCCAAGGACGUUUUAGUUCUCUUUGCAGGAUUUCCAUUCACAAAGACAUACUGUCAGAGAAAGAAGACGCCAACACAUUGCAUGAUGAGGUAGUAAAGAAGUUCAUUGAAAAACCACGAAGACUUGCUUUCUUAUACAAAUAGGUAUACAUAUAUGGCUGAUAGCAAGCUGAUGAUGUCUUACGUCCAUGGCAUGUGAGAAUUUUUCCGGGAACUUUUUAAUGCAGUCAAUGAUGAUUGUCAUUUCAGCACGACAAUUUCAUCACAACUUUUGAUAGUUGUUGAUGACAAAUCUGAGCCUUUUUCGGUUCUUUUGUCAAAGUUUCUUUACAAGAUGUACAUAGGUAUCUAUUUAUGUAU